rnacentral:sRNA from 1 species
CCAAGCAGAAUGAUCUUGCUUUUGAAUCCAUCUUCAGCAGGUCAGAGAGCAGCUCUCCUCGACGAGAGAGAAAGAAAAGCUCAAAGAAGAAGAAGCACAGGUACGAGGUGGGACUACUUGAAUGAUUGGAGAAGGUUUGCUGAAUUCAGGCAGAGGUGUUUCUUAUGUUUUUUCUUUUUUUUCCAACAGGUCAGAAUCUGAGUCCAAGAAACGUAAGCAUAGGUAAGAGCUCUUUAACUCAUAGGGGGCGCAGUGGCACGUGGAGUGGGGUGAUUUCUUUUACUUGGAGUGAAGCUCAAUUCCUUGAUCUUUGUUGUGUCAACACUCCCUUUUUCCAUGUCACUUUUGGUUUUAUUUCCUUUUUUAAAGAAGUUACUUUUAACAGUCUUUCCUUAUUUCCCAGGUCUCCCACUCCAAAGAGCAAACGUAAAUCUAAGGACAAAAAGCGAAAGCGGUCUCGAAGUACAACACCAGCCCCCAAGAGUCGCCGGGCCCACCGUUCAACUUCUGCGGACUCUGCUUCCUCCUCCGAUACUUCCCGCAGUCGGUCUCGAAGUGCUGCAGCUAAAACUCAUACAACUGCCUUGACUGGGCGAAGUCCUUCUCCUGCUUCAGGGCGACGAGGGGAGGGAGAUGCGCCUUUCAGCGAACCAGGUACUACCAGCACACAACGGCCUAGUAGCCCGGAGCCUGCUACGAAACAGCCUAGCAGCCCUUAUGAAGACAAAGAUAAAGACAAGAAGGAGAAAUCUGCAACUCGACCUAGCCCCUCUCCGGAAAGGAGCAGCACAGCCCCAGAACCACCUGCUCCCACUCCGCUCCUUGCUGAGCGACAUGGCGGCUCCCCACAACCCCUUGCAGCAACCCCCUUAAGCCAGGAGCCAGUGAACCCCCCAUCUGAGGCCUCUCCAACUCGGGGCCGUUCACCACCUAAGUCUCCUGAGAAACUUCCCCAGUCUUCUUCCUCAGAGAGCAGCCCGCCAUCCCCUCAAC